rnacentral:rRNA from 1 species
GAUGAACGCUGGCGGCGUGCCUAACACAUGCAAGUCGAGCGAUUCUCUUCGGAGAAGAGCGGCGGACGGGUGAGUAACGCGUGGGUAACCUGCUCUAUACACACGGAUAACAUACCGAAAGGUAUGCUAAUACGGGAUAACAUAAGAGAUUCGCAUGGAUUUCUUAUCAAAGCUCCGGCGGUAUAGGAUGGACCCGCGUCUGAUUAGCUAGUUGGUAAGGUAACGGCUUACCAAGGCGACGAUCAGUAGCCGACCUGAGAGGGUGAUCGGCCACAUUGGAACUGAGACACGGUCCAAACUCCUACGGGAGGCAGCAGUGGGGAAUAUUGCACAAUGGGCGAAAGCCUGAUGCAGCAACGCCGCGUGAGCGAUGAAGGCCUUCGGGUCGUAAAGCUCUGUCCUCAAGGAAGAUAAUGACGGUACUUGAGGAGGAAGCCCCGGCUAACUACGUG